GGCUGAGUGCCUGUGUAAACACCCUUUGCCAUCCUGCUCUUAAUUUCUCACGGACCCUGAAAUGAGUGUGGGGUUUUUGUGCGGUUUGGUUUUUUUGGAGGGUGGGGGGGUGGGUUUUGGUUUUUUUGGUUUGCUUUUUUUGUUUUGCUUAGUUUUUUGUUUGUUUUUUCAGAAAACACCUUUCUGUUGCUAGUGUGCACAGUGACGUGUUCUCAGCAAAUUUAAUAGUUUGCUGAUGAUGGCCUGUGCAAGAUGUUUUCACAGUUUAAUGAUGACCUUUUAUAACAAUCUGACAUUUUCUGGAGACACAAAUAGUUCAGGUUGACUGUGGAUCAGAUGAGCUCCAGAGGUCCUGCCAACCUCCACCAUUCUGUGAGUCUGGGAUUCUUAGCCUGUCUAACACUAACAAAGAAUAUGGUCCUGUAAACAUGCUGCCAGUUUGCAGCAUCCAUCUUUUCAUUCUGCAGGUAAGUGGUGCAGCUGUAACACAGCCCUUCUGCAAAUACACUUCCCUUCUGCUGAAACAGUGACUCUUCUAAAUCUCUGCCAGCUGCUAUGAGAGUUGGAACGAGGUAUGCUGGGGGUGGUUUUCCUCAGCUUCUUCCUGGGCUACUUAUGAAGUCUGUUGACUUUCUUGAUGUAGCACAUGUAUAAACUCAUGGAAUUUUUAUGACAAGAAAUUAUAUAUAACUAUUCCUCUUAUAAAAGUCUGCCCCUUAUGAAGAGUAACACUCCCAACUAUCAAGAGGGAUUAGCAGAGCCAGGAAAAGGCAGUCUGUAAUUAUGCAUGUACAAAUGGUGCUUGGCGUACUGUUGUAUGAGAGAAAUCUAAUAGGUGUGUUUUGACUUUCUAAGAGCCCAUUUCUAUGAAAGCAUUUUUCCAAGUGGGUUAAACAAUCAACUUGGGUUUUAAAAUAGCUUUAAAUAUGUUCAAGAUAACAAAAUCCGUAUGAAGUGUCCAAAGUGAAAUUUCAAACUUAACGUCGGUUUUGUUGUGAGAGAAAAAAUUGCAUUUCUAGGGAAUAGUUUAUUCUGCAUGUCUCAGA